rnacentral:rRNA from 2 species
AGAGUUUGAUCAUGGCUCAGAUUGAACGCUGGCGGCAGGCCUAACACAUGCAAGUCGAGCGGUAGCACAGAGAGCUUGCUCUCGGGUGACGAGCGGCGGACGGGUGAGUAAUGUCUGGGAAACUGCCUGAUGGAGGGGGAUAACUACUGGAAACGGUAGCUAAUACCGCAUAACGUCGCAAGACCAAAGUGGGGGACCUUCGGGCCUCAUGCCAUCAGAUGUGCCCAGAUGGGAUUAGCUAGUAGGUGAGGUAACGGCUCACCUAGGCGACGAUCCCUAGCUGGUCUGAGAGGAUGACCAGCCACACUGGAACUGAGACACGGUCCAGACUCCUACGGGAGGCAGCAGUGGGGAAUAUUGCACAAUGGGCGCAAGCCUGAUGCAGCCAUGCCGCGUGUGUGAAGAAGGCCUUCGGGUUGUAAAGCACUUUCAGCGGGGAGGAAGGCGGUGAGGUUAAUAACCUCACCGAUUGACGUUACCCGCAGAAGAAGCACCGGCUAACUCCGUGCCAGCAGCCGCGGUAAUACGGAGGGUGCAAGCGUUAAUCGGAAUUACUGGGCGUAAAGCGCACGCAGGCGGUCUGUCAAGUCGGAUGUGAAAUCCCCGGGCUCAACCUGGGAACUGCAUUCGAAACUGGCAGGCUAGAGUCUUGUAGAGGGGGGUAGAAUUCCAGGUGUAGCGGUGAAAUGCGUAGAGAUCUGGAGGAAUACCGGUGGCGAAGGCGGCCCCCUGGACAAAGACUGACGCUCAGGUGCGAAAGCGUGGGGAGCAAACAGGAUUAGAUACCCUGGUAGUCCACGCUGUAAACGAUGUCGAUUUGGAGGUUGUGCCCUUGAGGCGUGGCUUCCGGAGCUAACGCGUUAAAUCGACCGCCUGGGGAGUACGGCCGCAAGGUUAAAACUCAAAUGAAUUGACGGGGGCCCGCACAAGCGGUGGAGCAUGUGGUUUAAUUCGAUGCAACGCGAAGAACCUUACCUGGUCUUGACAUCCACAGAACUUUCCAGAGAUGGAUUGGUGCCUUCGGGAACUGUGAGACAGGUGCUGCAUGGCUGUCGUCAGCUCGUGUUGUGAAAUGUUGGGUUAAGUCCCGCAACGAGCGCAACCCUUAUCCUUUGUUGCCAGCGGUUAGGCCGGGAACUCAAAGGAGACUGCCAGUGAUAAACUGGAGGAAGGUGGGGAUGACGUCAAGUCAUCAUGGCCCUUACGACCAGGGCUACACACGUGCUACAAUGGCAUAUACAAAGAGAAGCGACCUCGCGAGAGCAAGCGGACCUCAUAAAGUAUGUCGUAGUCCGGAUUGGAGUCUGCAACUCGACUCCAUGAAGUCGGAAUCGCUAGUAAUCGUAGAUCAGAAUGCUACGGUGAAUACGUUCCCGGGCCUUGUACACACCGCCCGUCACACCAUGGGAGUGGGUUGCAAAAGAAGUAGGUAGCUUAACCUUCGGGAGGGCGCUUACCACUUUGUGAUUCAUGACUGGGGUGAAGUCGUAACAAGGUAACCGUAGGGGAACCUGCGGUUGGAUCACCU